ensembl:lncRNA
CCCUCCUCCUGUGGGACUCGCUGAGCUGGACGGAGGAGUGAGAGAGAGAGAGGGAGAGAGAGUGUGAGUGAGUGCGGAGCACGAGCGAGGAGCAACUUCGGGACUCGAACUGAUAACUGAUGAACGGGCUCCAAACCGAGUGCCGCGCAGCGCGUUCACGCUCGACCGGAAGAGGACGUAUCCGCCCGUGAAACGAUGACUUUCUGAGCGCUUCGUCCUCCGCCUGGCGCUCGUGCCCGCGCAGCUCCCAGAAGACCUCGAUGAGCGAGCGCGCUGCCUGUCGCACGGCGUCUCGCGCAGCCAGUAUCUCGACUCGCGCAGCACCUCGCGCCGCGUCCCAGCGCGAUAAGAGAAGCGCGAUCUUCUCGCCCGGGGCAACAUGAUGAUGAUGAUGAUGAUGAAGAAGUUGAGGAGGUUCGUGCAUCGCGGAGCCGCGGCGGCCUGCUGCUAAUUAUAUCUAUGGAUACAUUAAUAGAUACGUGAUUAUAUGUCAAUAAAAUGUAUAAUAAAGUGUAGCGGAGGCGUCGAGCCUGAGGAUCCGUGUUUAUUUACCGCUCAAUGUUUCAUGUUCUAGGAUUUGUGUCCUUCUGCUGCUCGUGGCGGGAUCGGCGCACGGGGGUGCGAAGAACCAGGAGCCCUGUGCAGGAGUCGACUGCAGCCGGGGGUGCGUCUGUAACCCGGAGAAGGGCGCCGCGGGUCAGCCGGGGCCUCUGGGACCCCAGGGGGUGGAGGGACCCCAAGGGUUUGCGGGAAGUGCAGGACCCCAAGGGCCCAAGGGUGAAAAAGGCCAUAUGGGAAUCAGAGGUCCAUCUGGUCCCAAAGGAGACAAAGGUCCAAUGGGUGUGCCCGGUUUCCCAGGAGCGGAUGGCGUACCAGGCUACCCUGGACAGAGCGGAGGAAGAGGACCUAAAGGACCGGACGGGUGCAACGGCACCGCCGGCGACCCGGGUCCGAGGGCGCAGGACGGGUUCCCGGGCCGGCCGGGCCCGCCGGGUCCGAGGGGUCCGAAGGGUCAGAAAGGAGAAGCGGUCUAUGCGGGAAGUGGCCAAGGCGGGGAGCCUGGUUUACCAGGGCUGGACGGCCUCUUUGGUCCUCGUGGUCCAACUGGGCUUCCGGGUUUCGUUGGUCCCAGAGGUCCGGACGGCCUUGCUGGCUCAAGAGCCGGAGCAGGUAUUUGAAGCAGGACAGGUGUAACCGCUGUGGCCGCGUCUGACAGCUCGUACCUGAACGCAUCUCACCUUUCUUUUGGUCGCAGGGUCUCCCCGGUCCCCCCGGCCCUCCCGGCCCCACAGUAAGUACGGAUGCGAUAGGGGCUUUUCGAGGGGCGCUGGGGGGGUGGGGGUGGUCAUGGGGGGGUGGAGAUGUAGGCAGUGCAGUGCUGCCACAUCAUUGACUCCCCCUACUGGAGAGCCGGAAGAACAUCUGCUUGCUGGACAGUUACCUUCAUUUACCUCGGCUUCCCGUAAAAAUAAGUCUCUGAUAAGGUGCAUCGUAGUAAAAAGUAAUCCUGUACAUGUUUCAUAGUAUUUUGCUGUCUUGACCUAUUUAUUUGCUUGUUUUCACAGGGAAGCCCUGGUUCUCGUUUCAAAGGAGAGAGUGGAGAGAAGGUAACCGGCUCUAAAUGAGCUCUACAAAGCGUCACUAAUAUUUGUAUGAGAAACGGCGACGGUGAUGCUUCAUCUUGCGCUCAGGAUUGAGAAGGUAGGGACAGCGCUGGGUUUUUCGCUUUCGUUGAGUGAUGGAGCGACCCCAACAGAAUAUGAAAGAAAUAUAGCGAGGGAGUGAACGGAAGCGACGUAACUGUUUUCUGCACCGAGAGAGACCGAGACACGUGAGACACGUGAGACGCGUCCGGGUCCCUUCUGGCGCUUUGUGCACGACUGCCUGUCCAGCACCGGUUCCUUACAGCCACAGCUUCAGAGCAGCAGCGCGAGCCGCACGUGCUUCUCUCUGUCCGUUUCCAAAGUCCCGCUUGUCCUGCGUUCCCAGUCACGUCGUCACUGUGUUCCAGGGGGACCCCGGUCAGCCAGGACCCCCGGGACUGCAAGGGCAACAGACGCUAGCAGGGGCGCCGGAAAGCACCAUCCUCAAAGGACCCAAGGUAAGCAGACGGCGAGUCUGUGCAUCGUGGCCACAGGUGGGAGGAGCGAAAUGACAGCCAGGGCACCG